rnacentral:rRNA from 1 species
UACGAAGGGGGCUAGCGUUGCUCGGAAUCACUGGGCGUAAAGGGUGCGUAGGCGGGUCUUUAAGUCAGGGGUGAAAUCCCGAGGCUCAACCUCGGAACUGCCUUUGAUACUAUUAGUCUUGAAUGUUGUUGAGGUGGGCGGAACGGGUCAUGUAGCGGUGAAAUGCAUAGAUAUGACCCGGAACACCGAUUGCGAAGGCAGCCCGCUAAGCAACUAUUGACGCUGAGGCACGAAAGCGUGGGGAUCAAACAGG